rnacentral:rRNA from 1 species
AGUGAACGCUGGCGGUAGGCCUAACACAUGCAAGUCGAACGGCAGCACAGUAAGAGCUUGCUCUUACGGGUGGCGAGUGACGGACGGGUGAGGAAUACAUCGGAAUCUACUUUUUCGUGGGGGAUAACGUAGGGAAACUUACGCUAAUACCGCAUACGACCUACGGGUGAAAGCAGGGGAUCUUCGGACCUUGCGCGACUGAAUGAGCCGAUGUCGGAUUAGCUAGUUGGCGGGGUAAAGGCCCACCAAGGCGACGAUCCGUAGCUGGUCUGAGAGGAUGAUCAGCCACACUGGAACUGAGACACGGUCCAGACUCCUACGGGAGGCAGCAGUGGGGAAUAUUGGACAAUGGGCGCAAGCCUGAUCCAGCCAUACCGCGUGGGUGAAGAAGGCCUUCGGGUUGUAAAGCCCUUUUGUUGGGAAAGAAAAGCAGCAGGUUAAUACCCCGCUGUUCUGACGGUACCCAAAGAGUAAGCACCGGCUAACUUCGUG